GCCUGGCUCUCUCUCCCUCGCUCUGCCUCAUCUCAUUGUGUCAAAGUAGGCCAAAUCCGAAGUCCUUUCCAGGGAGUGGCUCUGUUCAUCUUAUUCUCCAUCCAGAGUAGAAACAGUGUGAGAAGGAGAGAGACACAUUCAGCAGGCAAAGGACUCGGUGGAAAGAGCAGAGCACCGUAGACACACCUGUUAGAUAUGCUGCUCUCGGGACCCCCGGUGCUGCUGCUGCUCACUGCACUCGUCAGCCCCUCCGACUCGAUACCCCUAGAGGUUAAUGGUCAAGGAGGAGAUAAUGUAACUCAAGUGACUCAAGUGACUCAGGAAACAUUCACAGAAGAUCCUAAUCUGGUGAACGACCCUGCUACAGACGAAACAG